rnacentral:rRNA from 1 species
UAACCUACCCAUCAGAGGGGGAUAACACUUGGAACAGGUGCUAAUACCGCAUAACAGUUUAUGCCGCAUGGCAUAAGAGUGAAAGGCGCUUUCGGGUGUCGCUGAUGGAUGGACCCGCGGUGCAUUAGCUAGUUGGUGAGGUAACGGCUCACCAAGGCCACGAUGCAUAGCCGACCUGAGAGGGUGAUCGGCCACACUGGGACUGAGACACGGCCCAG